rnacentral:rRNA from 1 species
UACAGAGGAUGCAAGCGUUAUCCGGAUUCAUUGGGUUUAAAGGGUGCGUAGGCGGGCUAUUAAGUCAGUGGUGAAAGCCUGCAGCUUAACUGCAGAACUGCCAUUGAUACUGAUAGUCUUGAGUUUGGUUAAGGUAGGCGGAAUGUGUAAUGUAGCGGUGAAAUGCUUAGAUAUUACACAGAACACCAAUUGCGUAGGCAGCUUACUGAGCCGACACUGACGCUGAGGCACGAAAGCGUGGGGAUCGAACAGGA